CCUACGGGCGGCAGCAGUGGGGAAUAUUGCGCAAUGGGCGAAAGCCUGACGCAGCGACGCCGCGUGAGGGAUGAAGGUCUUCGGAUCGUAAACCUCUGUCAGCAGGGAAGAACGGUCACUGUGCUAAUCAGCAGUGAAUUGACGGUACCUGCAAAGGAAGCACCGGCUAACUCCGUGCCAGCCGCCGCGGUAAUACGGAGGGUGCGAGCGUUAAUCGGAAUUACUGGGCUUAAAGCGCUCGUAGGCGGUAUGUCAAGUCAAGGGUGAAAUCCCCGCGCUAAACGUGGGAACUGCCUUUGAAACUGGCAAACUGGAGUGUGUGAGAGGAUAGUGGAAUUCCAGGUGUAGGAGUGAAAUCCGUAGAUAUCUGGAGGAACAUCAGUGGCGAAGGCGACUAUCUGGCACAUAACUGACGCUGAGGAGCGAAAGCGUGGGUAGCAAACAGGAUUAGAUACCCGAGUAGUC
rnacentral:rRNA from 1 species